rnacentral:rRNA from 1 species
GAUGAACGCUGGCGGCGUGCCUAAUACAUGCAAGUCGAGCGAACAGACGCUGAUCUUGCUCCUCUUACGUUAGCGGCGGACGUGUGAGUCACACGUGUAUACCCUCCCUAUCUGACUGAUAUCACUUCGCGACACCGGAUCUAAUACCGUAUAAUAUAUUGCACCGCAUGGUUCUUUAGUUAAAGCCGGUUUUGCUGUCACUUAUAGCUGGUUCCGCGCUUCAUUAGCUAGUUGGUAAGGUAACGGCUUACCAAGGCGACGAUGCGUAGCCGACCUGAGAGGGUGAUAGGCGACACGGGAAGUGAGACACGGACAAGACGACUAAGGGAGGCAGCAGUAGGGAAUGUUACGCAAUGGGCGAAAGCAUGACGGAGCAAGGCCGCGUGAGUGAUGAAGGUCUUCGGAUCGUAAAAAUCGGUUAUUAGGGAAGAACAGAUGUGUAAGGAAACAUGGAGGUCUUGAUGGUACCUAAUCAGAAAGCAACGGCUAACUACGUG